UUAUGGAGCACAUGCAGAGGAAAUGGAAAGAGCUUUGACUAAAGCCCAGAAUAAUAAGAAAUAUUGUAGCCACCAUGCCAAGUAGACUUCAUGAAGUUAUAAAACAUGGUGGUGGCUGGACCCACUACUAGGGGAUGGGAGAGAGAGAGAGAGAGAGAGAGAGAGAGAGAGAGAGAGAGAGAGAGAGAGAGAGAGAGAGAGAGAGCUGGCUCGAGUCAGAUAUCUCUCAACCCCCACCCUGCUCAGAUUGGCGCCAGGAUUGAAGAGGUUAAUGUCAUGAGGCAAUAUUCAAGUUCAUAGCCCACCAGGGAGAUGAGGGGGUGGGGUCAUAGGCCCACCAAGGGAGAGCACUACACAAAAUUUAUAGCACAGUAAGUCCUCAUUAUACGGUACAUAUGUGUUCCUGAAAACCUUACCGCAAAUUGAAAUUACUGUAUACUGAACUCAUUAUAACAUGUAAUUAUAGGGGAUGUGUUCCAGCACGUCGAAAGUCACCCCUACAGACAUGAAAAUAGUCAUGUAAAAAAAAAUGUACUGCACAAAAGAAAUAAACAAAAUAUUUUUA